CGGCCGCGCUGGAACACCCGUUCCAGCUAACACCUGCCAUUGCCCCCGCAGCCUCUGCCCUUCCCUUUGUCCGGAGCGGGGAGGCUGCAGUGCCGGCGCCGCACCGCGCAGCGGCACCGUCCGCACGGACACGCGGGGCGCGACCGCCGGGGACGGCGCCCGCCGCCGCUCGGGAACCCGCAGCGCGUCCGCCCGCCGAUCCGCACCGCGACCGCACGGCAACGGCCGCAGGGCCCCCCCGCCUCGGCCGGGCACGCACGCCACCAAAGAAAGAGCGUUUCUGCGAAAUCUCAGCCCCCAAAUCCCGCGGUUACCCGCUAAAAUCUAACACCGGUGCUUGCACCACGGGUUUCUGUGAAGGAUAUCACAACUGAGAAGGCAAUUUGAGAGGGGAAGAAGAGCUCAUUUCUAUCACUGUGGCUGAAACCCAGCUGUAAUAGCAGAAAUGGCUUUUCUGUCUUAAAUUUUCAGAUUCCAGUCUGUGGCCAUCCCUCUUUGUAGAAAUGGUACACUGUUGGCUCAUAUUAAACCUGCUCUCCACGGUAUCACCCCAAUCCUUCCCUGCAAAGUUGCUUUCUAUCCAGCUGACAACCCAGCCCAUACUGGGGCAUGGAAUGACUAUGCAGCACUUUGCCUAGAUGCAGCACUUUGCCUAUUUUGAAGUUCAUGGUUCUUGUCAGCUCAUAUCUCCAGCCUGCUGUUUUCCUUCCAAAAAAUAUUUCAACUCUCCAGCUUAUCAACUGGUCUCUCUAAUUUGGUGUCAUCUAUGAAUUUGCUGAGAGUGAAUUCUGUCCUAUCAUUUAAGUCAUGGAUGAAGACGUUGAACAGAUGAGCACCAUCACUCCAUGACCCGGAUGCAACCCAUAUUUCAUGCUGCUCAUAACAGGCCUUUGAACCCAAAAGUCCAGCCAAAUUUUACUCCAAAUUACUGUCACUUAUGCAGUCAAUGCUUGAACAACUAGCUGGGGAGAUUCUUUUGGAAACUGCGUCCAAGAUCUUUCAAAAUUAACAUCAUCUCUUCUCCCAUUGUCCCCUGAGCUGAUCAUCUGACCACAGAGGAAAACCAGCAAAACACAGAGAAAAGAUUGAAUGCCUCAGAAUGUUGAACGUCUGUUCAAUGAGUAAGGAGCCUCUUCUUCAACUCUGCACCUUCUGUUGUGACACUCAGAUUCUCUGUGGAAGUGCCCACAACCAUCAUCGUCCUCUCACCCUGAAGAUCAAAUAAUUCUGAUGACAGUAGGCUGGUUUCAAAUUACCAUGUGAUGAUGACUGGAGACCAGGGGCAAAUGGCUGCUAAAAACAGAGAUAUGCCUGGGAAAAUCAAUCAGUUGUGAGUUGUUAACAAACACACACACAAACACACACACAAACACACACACACACACACACACACACACACAAGACCACUUUGAACAUUCAAAAAAAAAUACAUGCUACUUUCCUCAGAGUGUAAGUGAUAUUGAACAGUUCUUAAAUUCACAGAAUAGGACUCAAUAACACCAUAUGGUCUUGGUUAAAAUUAUUUUAUAUUGUAACAAAAGCAAAACCAUCCCACAGAAAGCAAACCUUGAGCCAGUUAUAUGAGUGCUGCUGAGGGAGUGAGAAACCUGAUUUCCUGAUGGACCAUAGGGCAAGUCACUUUGUCAAGAUAUCUUAUCUGUAAACUUUAAUAGCUUUGAGAAUUUGGACUUUAAUUUCUUCAUCUGUUGAAUUAUGAUGUUGGUAAUAGCACCUCUGUGUUGUGAACUACUUGGAUACUGUGCAACUGGUGAUCAUGUCAAUAUCAUAGCUUAAAUUAAAUAGAAAUGGAAUUGUUUUACUCCAGACUGGGGCUGAUUGUUUUACCACUGUCUCAAUACAACCCUUAAGAGCAGUAGGUAUUUUUGCUCAUUUUUAAUGCACUAUUUCCUAUUUUUAGGGUGUUUUUUUCCUUCCGGUAAAUACAGCCAGAAGUGUCACACAUCUUAUAACUGACUUCUUUAACUUUGAGGAAGACAGGAUUUAUCCUGCCACUUCCUAACUUUUUUUCACUUUAAGAACUACUCUGAGAGUAUAUCCAUGUAGGAUAAUACGGCAAUUUAACACAUGCCAGUGAAAUAUUAUAUUGUUUUAUA